AAGUCAGUCUUUAGGCUCAGCCUACUAGCAAGAAACAGCAAGAGUGCAGGACACUUCCUAACAGCGCUGUAGGACUCGGGUGACAGCAAAAUAAAGAAAAUCCAAAUAAAUACGAUCCCAAAAGAUCAA
rnacentral:ncRNA from 3 species